rnacentral:siRNA from 1 species
AGAGACGGCGGUUAAUGUGGAUG